GCGCCAGUAGCUCAGCUGGAUAGAGCAACGGCCUUCUAAGCCGUAGGUCACAGGUUCGAACCCUGUCUGGCGUA
rnacentral:tRNA from 1 species